rnacentral:tRNA from 4 species
AAGAAAGUGACAGAGUGGUGAUGUGGUUGACUUGAAAUCAACAUAUGGGGGUUCAAUUCCUUCCUUUCUUG